GAGUUUGAUCGUGGCUCAGGAUGAACGCUGGCGGCGUGCUUAACACAUGCAAGUCGAACGAAGCGCCUUAUUUGAUUUUCUUCGGAACUGAAGAUUUGGUGACUGAGUGGCGGACGGGUGAGUAACGCGUGGGUAACCUGCCCUGUACAGGGGGAUAACAAUCAGAAAUGACUGCUAAUACCGCAUAAGACCACAGCACCGCAUGGUGCAGGGGUAAAAACUCCGGUGGUACAGGAUGGACCCGCGUCUGAUUAGCUGGUUGGUGAGGUAACGGCUCACCAAGGCGACGAUCAGUAGCCGGCUUGAGAGAGUGAACGGCCACAUUGGGACUGAGACACGGCCCAAACUCCUACGGGAGGCAGCAGUGGGGAAUAUUGCACAAUGGGGGAAACCCUGAUGCAGCAACGCCGCGUGAGUGAAGAAGUAUUUCGGUAUGUAAAGCUCUAUCAGCAGGGAAGAAAGUGACGGUACCUGACUAAGAAGCCCCGGCUAACUACGUGGCAGCCGCCGCCGU
rnacentral:rRNA from 1 species